rnacentral:lncRNA from 1 species
CGCUCUUCUUGGUCUAUGUGAAUAUUAAACAAAGGAAGCAGAUGGAUUCAUGACAAAAUUGUGUUUUGGUGAUGGUGAUGUGUUUGUACAUCUUACAUUACUAAACAGUCUUGCUGCUCACAAUUAUCUCCAUCUGUAAUGAACUUGGCCCAGUAGUUUCAGUGGAAAAUGUUAAUAAAAAUUUACAAAUUUUAUGAAAAUUGUUAAAAAUUGACUAAAAAGGACAAUAACUCCUUAGGGGGUCAAUUGACCAUUUC